UAUUUUUAAAAUUUUAUUUUGACACAACGUAUCAAAAUAAUCUAAAAAUAUUAAAAAAAUUUAUUUUAAAAAAAUCAUUUAUUUUAAAAUAUUUUUAUAAAUACCCUAUAAAAAUAACACGGUUAUAUGAUAAAAAUAAAAAUAAUAAUAACAAUGAUAAAAGAGGAUCAUAUUCACAGAGGACCCUAAACAAAGAUAAAAGAAAGAAUGGAGCGGUGAUAGUUGUUAAUUAAUGGAAAGCCCAAAGGUCAAAGACCCUAAAUCCACAAUAAAAGAAAGAGACCCGAAGGCCCAGUAACAUUAGAUGAGGGAAACAAAAUUGGCAGCCUAGGUGCAUCAUGGUGAAACUUUCAAUACUCAAUAUUCGCGCUCUUUACACCUGUCACUUCCGUCCUGUAAGAGAUCAGUAGAUAGCACUGGAGGAGGGAGAUGAGAGGGAGAGGGAGAGAGCAGCCUCGAAUCUGGCAUAGCAAUCAGCAAAACAGAGUCAUCGCUCAUUCCUUGUUAAUUCUGCAAAAGCAUGGAAAUAUGGUUCAACUUCUGAAUUUCAGUCCAGAUUGCAAAACUGGUGAUUGUUUAAAAACACCACGCAUAUUGUGAAGACUUGUUAUUUGAGAAUUUUAAGACAAAUGGGAAGAAAAAAUAAUGGAAGGAAGGAAACAUAGACAAAUGGGCCUAAUUUAUAUAUAUAUAUAUAUAUAUAUAGUUUGAGAUACUCAGUUAAAAAAAUAAAAAAUAAAGGUGAGAGGCCAAGUUUAGUUUGAUCCAAAGUUAAGUGUAAUUUUUUGGUCAUUUACCUUUUUUACCAAAGGAAUGGUUUUUGCUGGCAUUUUACCUAAACUCUGGAUUUUAAUACUCAAUGUUUAUAUAGGAAAAGGUACAACACACAAUUCUUGUUAUUUGUAGAUGCUUGCAGAUACACUUAGCUUUGAUACAAAUCAUCAAUCAAAGAAAAAUUUGAACGCAAAAAAAUUUAGAUGACCACCUUUUACUUGACUACCACAACAUUUUUUAAACCAUCUAUUGAUUGCCUAAAAGAAUAAUGCCGUGUUGCUAGUUUGAUCCAAUAGAUUAGAUUGAGAUACUGUUAGGAAUGCCCCUGCCUGUGAGUCCACCCUCUCUGGAGUAAUCUGUGGUGUUAGGAAAGAGUAAAGUGUAAGGAACUUCUACAGGCCCCACUCUGUUUUUCCAUCUCUUGUCAUUGUUCAUAUCCAUAAUUUUGUUUUCAAUUUCUACCAGCUUCCUUCGAAACCUCUCAAAUGCCGCCAGUGGUUCACUAUCCAAAGUCCAUUCAGUAGUAUCUCUCUGUCCAAGGUAAACCUCAUCAGUUGAAUGUCUUGAUAAAAUCUCAAUCAGUGAUACACCUAGGAGGGUUUGUAGCUGGGCUGUGAUUGUUUUCAGGUAGGCUACAUCUGGAUUUUUCUCAAGCUCAGCAUACUCAGGGGUCCCUGGUUCAGGCAUGAAUCGACGGCUUAAGGAUGGACGGUUAGGGAGGUAGCCAGCGUAAGGGUAUUGCCCAAAAUUGACAGCUGCAUGGAGGGCUGAAGCUAUCCAUAUGAUAAUGGUGCAUGUUUGUGUGACAUCAACUAGCGUCUGCAUCUCAGGCCACCACGGUUCAUCUUUCUUGUCACCAUGGCCUACAUUACAGAUCUCUGUCCACCAUGACUGGAGUUCACUAUCUCCUUGGAUCAAAUCAUCUGUGGGGUAGUAGAAAGCACAAUAUUCCUUAACCCACGUUUCAAUUGCUGACCAGAUUUCUAGCCCAUCAACAGCAUAGGGAUAAUCUUCUAUCAGAAGUCUGAGGCCAUGUGGCUGGCUUGAAUCUGGAACCGCCACUCCUCUGGAUGAUUUUGAAAGUUGGAUCAAUUUUAUUUUUGCUUUAGAUAAAAAGUGAAGAUAAGAGUGUAUUUUUAGGUUCCGAGCUUUACCUCUUGAGGAGAUCUGUGGGGAGUGCCUGCUCAGUGAAAACCCAGUUCUUGUAAACAAAAGAGGACAUUUCCAUGGCAUAUUUGGCUGGGAAAACAGUUAUCUCCAGUAUUCCACCAGCAUUGAUGAGGAUCUGCCUAGCCAAGGCAUUUAUAUUCAUUGUAUCACGAAAAUGAGGAUGUAAAAGCUUAUAGAUUGGGUGAAGGACACUCAAUUGUCUGUUUGUGGCUAUCACAAAUGGCUCUAUUACAGCAUGAGUGUUCAGCCUGUAAAUAUGAGCAGAAUCGUUCAGGUGUACAUUCUAUAGUAGAACAAAGUUUUACUUUAUGCCAUCAUGAAAUCCCUUUUGAUUUGAAA